rnacentral:rRNA from 1 species
UCCCUACGGGAGGCAGCAGUGGGGAAUAUUGCACAAUGGGGGAAACCCUGAUGCAGCAACGCCGCGUGAGUGAUGACGGCCUUAGGGUUGUAAAGCUCUGUCUUCAGGGACGAUAAUGACGGUACCUGAGGAGGAAGCCACGGCUAACUACGUGCCAGAAGCCGCGGUAAUACGUCGGUGGCGAGCGUUGUCCGGAUUUAUUGGGCGUAAAGGGAGCGUAGGCGGGCUUUUAAGUGAGAUGUGAAAUACUCGGGGUCAACUUGAGUGCUGCAGUUCAAAACGGA